UCCGAAGUAGCUCAGUGGUAGAGCAGGCGGCUGUUAACCGCCGGGUCGGGGGUUCGAAACCCUCCUUCGGAGCCA
rnacentral:tRNA from 1 species